GGACAACCUACCCUAAGGUGGGGGAUAACCCCGGGAAACUGGGGAUAAUACCCCAUAGACUAGAGAAGCUGGAAUGCUCUCAAGUUCAAAGGUCCGCCGCCUUAGGAUGGGUCUGCGGUCGAUUAGGUUGUUGUUGGGGUAACGGCCCAACAAGCCCGUGAUCGAUACGGGUUGUGAGAGCAAGAGCCCGGAGAUGGAUUCUGAGACACGAAUCCAGGCCCUACGGGGCGCAGCAGGCGCGAAAACUUUACAAUGCGGGAAACCGUGAUAAGGGAACCCCGAGUGCCCGUAAAUUCGGGCUGUCCAUCAGCGUAAAUAACUGGUGAAGAAAGGGCCGGGCAAGACCGGUGCCAGCCGCCGCGGUAAUACCGGCGGCUCGAGUGGUGGCCACUAUUAUUGGGCUUAAAGCGUCCGUAGCUUGGUUGUUAAGUCUCUUGGGAAAUCUACCGGCUCAACCGGUAGGCGUUCAGGAGAUACUGGCAAUCUAGGGACCGGGAGAGGUGAGAGGUACUCCAGGGGUAGGAGUGAAAUCCUGUAAUCCUUGGGGGACCACCUGUGGCGAAGGCGUCUCACUAGAACGGCUCCGACAGUGAGGGACGAAAGCUGGGGGAGCAAACCGGAUUAGAUACCCGGGUAGUCCCAGCUGUAAACGAUGCGCGUUAGGUGUAUCGGUGACCACGAGUCACCGAGGUGCCGAAGGGAAACCGUGAAACGUGCCGCCUGGGAAGUACGGUCGCAAGGCUGAAACUUAA
rnacentral:rRNA from 1 species